GCCAGACUCCUACGGGAGGCAGCAGUGAGGAAUAUUGGUCAAUGGGCGCGAGCCUGAACCAGCCAAGUAGCGUGAAGGAUGACUGCCCUACGGGUUGUAAACUUCUUUUAUAAAGGAAUAAAGUGAGGCACGUGUGCCUUUUUGUAUGUACUUUAUGAAUAAGGAUCGGCUAACUCCGUGCCAGCAGCCGCGGUAAUACGGAGGAUGCGAGCGUUAUCCGGAUUUAUUGGGUUUAAAGGGUGCGUAGGCGGUGCGUUAAGUCAGCGGUAAAAUUGGGGGGCUCAACCCCGUCGAGCCGUUGAAACUGGCAGACUUGAGUUGGCGAGAAGUACGCGGAAUGCGCGGUGUAGCGGUGAAAUGCAUAGAUAUCGCGCAGAACUCCGAUUGCGAAGGCAGCGUACCGGCGCCAGACUGACGCUGAGGCACGAAAGCGUGGGGAUCGAACAGGAUUAGAUACCCCGGUAA
rnacentral:rRNA from 1 species